GGCACAAGUUGAACAAAUGAGAGCACAAGCUCAAGCAAAGAUGGUGAAGAAGAUUGCAAUGGCAAGACAAAAAUCAGAAGAAAAGCGUGCUGCAGCUGAAGCUAGAAGAAAUCAGCAAGCGGGAAAAACUACAGAGCAAGUUCAAUACAUACGCCAGACAGGUCGACUUCCUUCUUCGUCUUUCACAUGUUGUGGCUGGUUAUGAUAAGAACGAUUAAGCAGCAGCAGGAAUGCAGAUCGUAAUCAAGUUUCGCAUGCACAUUAAACUUUCGAGUUAGCUUCUCUCAUAAUGUCCGCUUUUGUAUUAACAGAAAGUAUAGUAUCAUGUUGAACAUUGUCCGUCCUUGUAUCUAUAUUUUUGCAACCUGCAAAUAUAAGUUUUUACAUGGAAUGAAGUUUGGGUUGGUCA
rnacentral:misc_RNA from 1 species